UUCCAGUAAUGGGAAUCGAAUCCACAGUGUUCCGUUUUACCGGGCAGAUGCCAUGUCCACUAGGCUACCCUGGA